rnacentral:lncRNA from 1 species
CUUUUCUCCCUUCUGAAGUCUGAUCCUGUGGAUCAUUUAUUCAUUUACUCAAUUAUUCCAGCUGUGUCACCCCAAAGUCUGAGCAGAUGUGGUUGAGAUUUGAGAUUGAAGAGGCAGUGAUCCACUAGGAAAUGGGAAAGGGCAGUCAUUGUUACUGAUUUUUUGUUAUAUUUUGCCAGUGUGCAUAUGUGGAGGCGGCUGCCCUGGCCAACCUGCCGACACCCAAAGAAAGAUAUCCACAUGGCGGAAUGGUACGCGCCUACGUGGGGCCUGCGAGAGAGAUGUAUGUUCGUGGGAUCGAUCGAGCUCAUCGUGUAGACAAAACCAGCCUGGUAAUGGCAGCGAGGUCGAUCUGGAUAAGUUCAUGUGUGGCCUGCCUGCCUGCCUCAAGACUGGCCUUUCAACCAAUCGAUGCAGGCCACUUGGGACUGCAACAUGUGGGUAGGACCGGCCAAUGG